UCGACGCUGAACACUUUCGGGUGUGGAUGAAUGGCGAACGGGUGAGUAACACGUGGGUAAUCUGCCCUGCACUCUGGGAUAAGCCUUGGAAACGAGGUCUAAUACCGGAUAUCACCUCCUACCGCAUGGUGGGUGGUUGAAAGUUCCGGCGGUGCAGGAUGAACCCGCGGCCUAUCACCUUGUUGGUGGGGUAAUGGCCUACCAAGGCGACCACGGGUAGCCGGCCUGAGAGGGUGACCGGCCACACUGGGACUGACACACGGCCCAUACUCCUACGGGAGGCAUCAUUGGGGAAUAUUGCACAAUGGGCCAAAGCCUGAUGCAGCGACCCCGCGUGAGGGAUGACGGCCUUCGGGUUGUAAACCUCUUUCCCCAGGGACGAAUCGCAAGUGACGGUACCUGGAUAAAAAGCACCGGCUAACUACGUGCCAACAUCCGCGGUAAUACGUAGGGUGCGAGCGUUGUCCGGAUUUAUUGGGCGUAAAGAGCUCGUAGGCGGUUUGUCUCGUCGGCCGUGAAAUCUCCACGCUUAACGUGUAGCGUGCGAUCGAUACGGGCAGACUUGAGUUCGGUAGGGGAGACUGGAAUUCCUGGUGUAGCGGUGAAAUGCGCAGAUAUCAGGAGGAACACCGGUGGCGAAGGCGGGUCUCUGGGCCGAUACUGACGCUGAGGAGCGAAAGCGUGGGGAGCGAACAGGAUUAGAUACCCUGGUACUCCACGCUGUAAACGUUGGGCGCUAGGUGUGGGCGACAUCCACGUUGUCCGUGCCGUAGCUAACGCAUUAAUCGCCCCGCCUGGGGAGUACGGCCGCAAGGCUAAACUCAGCGGAAUUGACGGGGGCCCGC
rnacentral:rRNA from 2 species